rnacentral:rRNA from 1 species
AUGGCGAAUGCACUGGCAUUUAUAUGCUCGUCUUUAGCCGUCCUAAGCCUUGUGUUUGCAGGAACACCUACAGUUGAAAUACCCAUGCGCUACAUGCACUACAAUUUCCUAUGGUUAUCUUUCAAUGGAGCCUUAUCUUUGGGGACGGCUUUCGUAUUGGCUAUAUACAUCAUGAUCACCCCAGUUAUUUCUGGAACUGCUACUAUGGCCAUGGUGGUGUUUUCUUCCUUAGAACUCCUCUACAUGCCAUCAUUAGUUGAGAAGCUUGUUAAAUUCAUGAUGGUGGUAUGUGGUAGACUAGGAAUAUUGUCAGUAAUGCUAAGAUCGGAGAUGCCGAAGGUAAUGUUGCUUACAAUUUGGCCACUCAUGGUAAUUUUUGGAUGGCAAGAAUACGCAUGGCGACACAUGUACCUGUAG